CGCGUAGGCGGUUAUGCAAGUCAGAUGUGAAAUACUUCAGCUUAACUGAAGAACUGCAUUUGAUACUGCAAGACUAGAGUACAGGAGAGGGAAAUGGAAUUCCCGGUGUAGAGGUGAAAUUCGUAGAUAUCGGGAGGAACACCAGUGGCGAAGGCGAUUUCCUGGCCUGAUACUGACGCUGAGGCGCGAAAGCGUGGGGAGCAAACA
rnacentral:rRNA from 1 species